rnacentral:piRNA from 1 species
UUUUUUGGGGGGAGGGUCUUUGU